rnacentral:rRNA from 1 species
UACGUAGGGGGCAAGCGUUGUCCGGAAUCAUUGGGCGUAAAGCGCGCGUAGGCGGCUCGAUCAGUCUGCUGUAAAAGUCAAAGGCUCAACCUUUGAAUGCCGGUGGAUACUGUCGGGCUAGAGUCCGGAAGAGGCGAGUGGAAUUCCUGGUGUAGCGGUGGAAUGCGCAGAUAUCAGGAGGAACACCAACGGCGAAGGCAGCUCGCUGGGACGGUAUUGACGCUAAGGCGCGAAAGCGUGGGGAGCAAACAGG